rnacentral:lncRNA from 13 species
GUUAUAGGGAUCAGUGUGUGACAAUGUAAACCUGAUCUGGGACCCAAUGUCGUUGUGGGGAUGAAUAAUUUAUUGGGUUCUGUGCGCUAGAGUCUAGCGACGCUCCAAAUGGCUGGAUAGACUACAGCGUGUUCCUGUGCUGACCUUGAAGCUUCCCAUAAGAAUGUCACGAUGUGUUUAAGUACUGUACAGCCCUCUCUAAAGCAAAACCAAUUCCUCCUCAUUUAUUGUCAAAGAGGUGCUGUGUUGAGUGACUACACAGUGCACUCUGUUGGUGGUGACAACUCCAGGCCAACCCAGUGAGAGCCAUUCAAAGUCAUAUCAAAAGAGCGAAACACAGGUACAACCAGUGCGAAAGGACUCGAAAUAUAGACUAAGACACAGGAANNNNNNNNNNGGUUAGGGUUGGGCCUAGGGUUACGGAUGAACCAGGAUGUGGACAUGGAGCUAGGGUUAGGGUUAGGGUUGGGGCUAGGGUUACGGAUGAACCAGGAUGUGGACAUGGAGCUAGGGUUAGGGUUAGGGUUGGGGCUAGGGUUACGGAUGAACCAGGAUGUGGACAUGGAGCUAGGGUUAGCGUUAGGGUUGGGGCUAGGGUUACGGAUGAACCAGGAUGUGAACAUGGAGCUAGGGUUAGGGUUAGGGUUGGGCCUAGGGUUACGGAUGAACCAGGAUGUGGACAUGGAGCUAGGGUUAGGGUUGGGCCUAGGGUUACGGAUGAACCAGGAUGUGGACAUGGAGCUAGGGUUAGGGUUAGGGUUGGGGCUAGGGUUACGGAUGAACCAGGAUGUGGACAUGGAGCUAGGGUUAGGGUUAGGGUUGGGGCUAGGGUUACGGAUGAACCAGGAUGUGGACAUGGAGCUAGGGUUAGCGUUAGGGUUGGGGCUAGGGUUACGGAUGAACCAGGAUGUGAACAUGGAGCUAGGGUUAGGGUUAGGGUUGGGCCUAGGGUUACGGAUGAACCAGGAUGUGGACAUGGAGCUAGGGUUAGAGUUAGGGGCCGUCAUGGAAUCAGCCAGGAUUCAGUU